rnacentral:rRNA from 1 species
CCAGACUCCUACGGGAGGCAGCAGUGAGGAAUAUUGGUCAAUGGGCGCGAGCCUGAACCAGCCAAGUCGCGUGAGGGAUGAAGGAUCUAUGGUUCGUAAACCUCUUUUAUAAGGGAAUAAAGUGCGGGACGCGUCCCGCUUCGCAUGUACCUUAUGAAUAAGGAUCGGCUAACUCCGUGCCAGCAGCCGCGGUAAUACGGAGGAUCCGAGCGUUAUCCGGAGUGACUGGGUGUAAAGAGUUGCGUAGGUGGCAUAGUAAGUAGCUAGUGAAAUCUGGUGGCUCAACCAUUCAGACUAUUAGCUAAACUGCUAAGCUCGAGACCGUUAGGGGUAACUGGAAUUUCUAGUGUAGGAGUGAAAUCCGUAGAUAUUAGAAGGAACACCGAUAGCGUAGGCAGGUUACUGGGACGGUUCUGACACUAAGGCACGAAAGCGUAGGGAGCAAACGGGAUUAGAUACCCGAGUACG